GUUUCCGUGGUGUGUAGCAGUUAUCACGUGUGCUUCAUACGCACAAGGUCCCCGGUUCGAUCCCGGGCGUGAACA